GACACCAUGGGCCUCCUGCUGUGAUAUCAUAUAAAGCAUGUAUUACCACCUAUGAAGUAUUUUUGCCAAAAAAAUGUUUAACCUGCAUUUAAUACCAAGCUUCUAGAUCUAACAAUUUUCAGGAAGAGAGAAGGAACAAGUUGAACAACACCAGGAAGAAACAAGCAAGGCCAGAAUAUAGGACAUUCUAGAGUACACUAGCCUGGACAACUGUCACAGUGCCUCAGGGGCAGGCGACAGCACUUCCAGCUGGAGGGUGGGGACCUGAAGGGCCCAAGGCUUUGCAGUGUGCCAACCAGCGACAUCAGCAUCACACUGGGAGCUUCUGAGAAAUGUCAGCUCUGAGGUCCCAGCCCAAACCUACUGAGUCACAAUCUAUUUUACAAGAUCCCCAGGUGAUCUGUGUGUCCACCAGGUUUCAGAUGCACUGAUCUAACGGGAACGCAUUCCUCUUGCCAGUGAUUACUUCAAGACUAGGCAUGUGACCCAAUGCAGGCCAACGAGAUGUGAAGAACGGUUCUGGAGCUGCUUCUUGUUCUGAGAUAAAUUCCUCCUUUCGGAA